AUUCAGCUGACGAGUCCCAAAUAGGACGAAACGCGCGUUGUCCUAGAU
rnacentral:hammerhead_ribozyme from 1 species